CCCUACGGGGGGCAGCAGUAGGGAAUCUUCGGCAAUGGGCGAAAGCCUGACCGAGCAACGCCGCGUGAAUGAAGAAGGCCUUCGGGUUGUAAAAUUCUGUUAUAAGGGAAGAAAGGUGAUAGGAGGAAAUGACUAUCAAUUGACGGUACCUUAUGAGAAAGCCACGGCUAACUACGUGCCAGCAGCCGCGGUAAUACGUAGGUGGCAAGCGUUAUCCGGAUUUAUUGGGUUUAAAGGGUGCGUAGGCGGGACGGUAAGUCAGCGGUAAAAAUGCGGAGCUCAACUCCGUCGAGCCGUUGAAACUG
rnacentral:rRNA from 1 species